CAAGGAAUUUUCCCCAAUGGGCGCAAGCCUGAGGGAGCAACGCCGCGUGGAGGACGACGGCCUUCGGGUUGUAAACUCCUUUUGGGCGGGACGAUGAUGACGGUACCGCCCGAAGAAGCCCCGGCUAACUCCGUGCCAGCAGCCGCGGUAAGACGGAGGGGGCAAGCGUUGUCCGGACUUACUGGGCGUAAAGCGCACGUAGGCGGUGCGGUGCGUCGGUGCUGAAAGGGCCCCGCUUAACGGGGUCAGGCGUGCCGAUACGACCGGACUCGAGGCCGACAGAGGGUGGCGGAAUUCCGGGUGUAGUGGUGAAAUGCGUAGAGAUCCGGAGGAACGCCUGUGGCGCAAGCGGCCACCUGGGUCGGACCUGACGCUGAGGUGCGAGAGCGUGGGGAGCGAACC
rnacentral:rRNA from 1 species